UACGUAGGGGGCUAGCGUUGUCCGGAAUCAUUGGGCGUAAAGAGCGUGUAGGCGGCCCGGUAAGUCCGCUGUGAAAGUCGGGGGCUCAACCCUCGAAAGCCGGUGGAUACUGUCGGGCUAGAGUGCGGAAGAGGCGAGUGGAAUUCCUGGUGUAGCGGUGAAAUGCGCAGAUAUCAGGAGGAACACCGAUUGCGAAGGCAGCUCGCUGGGACGCUGACUGACGCUGAGACGCGAAAGCGUGGGGAGCAAACAGG
rnacentral:rRNA from 1 species